rnacentral:rRNA from 1 species
GAUGAACGCUGGCGGCGUGCCUAAUACAUGCAAGUCGAGCGAACGGACGAGAAGCUUGCUUCUCUGAUGUUAGCGGCGGACGGGUGAGUAACGCGUGGAUAACCUACCUAUAAGACUGGGAUAACUUCGGGAAACCGGAGCUAAUACCGGAUGAUAUUUUGAACCGCAUGGUUCAAAAGUGAAAGACGGUCUUGCUGUCACUUAUAGAUGGAUCCGCGCUGCAUUAGCUAGUUGGUAAGGUAACGGCUUACCAAGGCAACGAUGCAUAGCCGACCUGAGAGGGUGAUCGGCCACACUGGAACUGAGACACGGUCCAGACUCCUACGGGAGGCAGCAGUAGGGAAUCUUCCGCAAUGGGCGAAAGCCUGACGGAGCAACGCCGCGUGAGUGAUGAAGGUCUUCGGAUCGUAAAACUCUGUUAUUAGGGAAGAACAUAUGUGUAAGUAACUGUGCUCAUCUUGACGGUACCUAAUCAGAAAGCCACGGCUAACUACGUG